rnacentral:rRNA from 1 species
UACGUAGGGUGCAAGCGUUGUCCGGAAUUAUUGGGCGUAAAGAGCUCGUAGGCGGCUUGUCGCGUCGGCUGUGAAAACCUGGGGCUCAACCCCGGGCCUGCAGCCGAUACGGGCAAGCUAGAAUUCGGUAGGGGAGACUGGAAUUCCCGGUGUAGCGGUGAAAUGCGCAGAUAUCGGGAAGAACACCCGUGGCGAAGGCGGCUCUCUGGGACGGUACUGACGCUGAGACGCGAAAGCGUGGGGAGCGAACAGG